rnacentral:rRNA from 1 species
CGCCUCUUGCAUAUCCAGUAUAAGAGGUCCCGCCUGCCCUGUGACUAUAGGUUUAACGGCCGCGGUAUUUUGACCGUGCGAAGGUAGCGCAAUCACUUGUCUUUUAAAUGAAGACUUGUAUGAAUGGCACGACGAGGGCUUGACUGUCUCCUUCUUUCAGUCAAUGAAAUUGAUCUAUCCGUGCAGAAGCGGGUAUAUAAACAUAAGACGAGAAGACCCUAUGGAGCUUUUAGAUGAACAAUAAGAUCAUGUCAAAAGCCACAGCUAUGUGAUCGAACCAAAUGAAUACUUAUUGAAUAUCUUUGGUUGGGGCGACCACGGGGAAAAAAAUAACCCCCAUGAGGAGUGAGAGUAAGCUCUUAUAUUUAAGAACUACCGUUCCAAAACCCAGAAUAUCUGACCAAAUGAUCCGGUGAGCCGAUCAACGAACCGAGUUACCCUAGGGAUAACAGCGCAAUCCCCUUUUAGAGUCCCUAUCAACAAGGGGGUUUACGACCUCGAUGUUGGAUCAGGACAUCCUAAUGGUGCAGCUGCUAUUAAGGGUUCGUUU